UCUAGUUCAGUUGGUAGAACAUGAGAUUCUUAUGGGUCAUGGGUUUGAGCCCCACAUUGGGCAAAA